rnacentral:misc_RNA from 1 species
ACUCAGCGUAUGUCCUCUGUCAUAAGCAGUACAAAAUGUAGUCACAGUAUUUGUGUUAAUCUUGGCUUUUAUGCCAGCUUUAGGCUUGGUAGUAUUUGGCUCUGGAAUCUUCUGUUCCAGUAGCAUAUUUAGUUUUUUCCGCCUCAGUAAUUACUUUAAUUAAGAAGAGAGGAUAUCAAAUUGUCACCUCACAAUGGAGAUUUUCCUCCUAUUACCGCUACUAAGCGGUCAAAGUAUGGGUCCAUCAAUAGAUGACUAUAGUCCAUCAAUUUACGGGUUCAUGAAUGUCUCGUGAACGUGUGUCUUUAAGCCGCUGAGAUGCCUCUGAAUCGAUGGCAGUCCUAGAAGCUUGGGGUAUGCUGUCUCCUGUCCAUCUGGACGUGUAGAGCUCGAUCACCGAGCCUAGAUUCAAAUUGAAGAAAUAGCUUUGAGAUGAUCUUCCUUUCAACUCAAGUAUACGUGAAACAAGCAAAAGUGACUGCUGGAGGAUUUUUUGAUCUGAACCGCUCUGUAGCUAUAUCAAUGCUUCUCACUGGCGCAACGUAUCUACUACUCUGUUAUCAGUCCAGAUUUGAAAUAGCCAACAUGCUUGACGCCUAUGGAAAUUUUCUCAAUGAUUUCUCCAUCAAAAAGGGUAAAAUAAUCGAGAUGAUUACACCAGAUCUUUAGAAUCCUCACACAGGAAACCUUACGGGAUUGAAACUACAAGAAUAUUAGGCAUAAAAUUUACUCGCUUAUCUCUAUUCUAACUCAAUAGAUAAAUAACAUGAUUAAUUCAAUGUGCAGUGAUAAUUAUAAGUGUAAUAUUCAACUAUAGUUUCGUGUUUUAGUUUUCCUAAAUUCAAAAUUUAUAACCUAUAUUUAUAUAUUUGGGCGAAAAUUGAA